rnacentral:rRNA from 1 species
GACGUAGGAGGCGAGCGUUGUCCGGAUUCAUUGGGCGUAAAGAGCACGCAGGCGGUUUGGCAAGUCGGAUGUGAAAACCCGGAGCUCAACUCCGGACCUGCAUCCGAAACUGCCCGACUAGAGGUAGGUAGGGGAGAUCGGAAUUCCUGGUGUAGCGGUGAAAUGCGCAGAUAUCAGGAGGAACACCGGUGGCGAAGGCGGAUCUCUGGGCCUUACAUGACGCUCAGGUGCGAAAGCUAGGGGAGCGAACAGG